CCAGUGGGAAGAACAAUUAUAGCAAAGGAAUAUUUUGCAAGUAAUCAAAAUGCAGUUACUUAUUUAAAAAAAAAUAAAAGAUGUGACGUAAACAAACUUCACUUUAAAUAGCCUCUCCUCCUUCCCUACCCCGUGUCAAAAACCUCUUCUGGUGAGAGCAAGGCUGCUGGACGGGAAGCGAGCUCCUCUGCCCACUUCCUACCAUCUACCUUCCUGUCCCUUCUCCUGCCUCUUUGCCCCCUCCCUCUCCCCCUCCAUCAUGCCCUGUUCUCUCCCUCCUCCUCUCUCCGCUCCUAACCUCUCAAACUCUUUUCUCUCAAAUGAUUAAGAUUCGCUCUCACCAAGUGCACCGGAUGUUAAGCAAACUCACUGAGGACAGACAGCACCUGCUCUGUCAUAAAGACGGGGUGACCAUGGAUUCCAACCAUCCUGCUGGAGCCCAGGCCUCAAGAAACCCCAGACGUCAUUGCUGGUCUCUGUCCACCUGCCGGCUCCAGACUCCUCCGAGAGCACCGGACGAGCAAGACUGACGCCACUUUCAUCUCAGGAUGUUCUUGUGUCUGAGGAUCAGUUGCUCACUCCAGACUCUUUUGAGCCUUGACCGGAAGAUGGGGACCCGCACAGCAACUGCCCAGCCUAGAACCACAGGACCGAGCAAAGAUGCCACGAGGGACUCCUUGUUGGAGAAGUCCCAGAAAGUCACUGCCCCAAACCAGCCCCCUGCGUCAUCAAACACGGAGAAGAGGAAUCAUUCCGCCUUCUGGGGACCAGAGAGUCCGACAGACCCUGGGAUGCCAGGCAGUGAGACCGCGCCCCUGGCUUUGAAGCCCAGCCCUAUGACCCACUCACUACUUGAUGACCCUGGGCGAGCACGGAGCCUCCCUGAGCCUAGCCAGAAAAGUGGAGCUACUGGGACCUGCCAGCACGACACUUGUUCCUCAGGGAAGAAUAGAAAAGGGGAGAAUUAUGUUUUUGAGUCAAAGAGUGAUCGAGGAGGAGGGGAACACCCAGCCCCAGAAGCAGGUAAAUGUGUGCCUUGGAGACUCAUUGCAGAGGACCAAAUAAACCCUCACGGGACCACAGAGCCUCUAGUUGAGGGUAGUAGAUGAAGCUGCAGGAGCUCAUGACAAGAGCAGUGACCUGUGGAGCAGAAGCACCACUGUGCUCUCAUCUCCUAGUCAUGUGUCAUCUUUGGGCUCUUGAACUGGUAACCCCCGUCUGUGGACCUCAGCUUCUUCCUUUGUAAGUGGAUUGACUAGAUAAUCCCUCUAGUCCCUUCCAGGUGUAACGUUCUAAGGAAAGAGUAAUUCUUCUGGCCUAGUGGUUAGGAACACGGGCUCCAGAAUCGGACGCCGAGAUUCAAGUCCUUGCUCCACCACUGACCUCUGUGCCCUCGGGCAUUAUCUUCUCCCCGUGGAUCUCAGUUUCAUCUUUAGGAAGCUGGAGAUAACAACCCAUACCUGCGUCACAGAGUUGUCAGGGAGAAUAAACGGGACCAUUAAUACGAAGCAUUUAGCACACUGCUUGGCUCAUACAAUGAGCCAAAUAAAUGAUGGCUAUUAUGAUCGACUGAGUCAUGAUACCACAGGAGUAAAGGUCUUGGACCACCCAGUUCUCUUCCCAAGUGCUCUAGUGACAGAGAUGGAAGACAGCGGGAAUGGGGAAGAGUGUGGGAAGUUAAGGGAUAUUUAGAAGAAGAAUACCAUAAUUCCAUAACUGUGGUUGUUUUUAACUAGAGAGAAAACACUUUUGACACAGUCCUGUAGAAAGGCAGGUUUUAGUUCUAAAUCCCACAAACUAAUUAAUAAACAAAGAUUUACAAGUACAAAAUAUGAUUCUUAAGUUACAGAUAUAAACGUUCAGAAAACUUUUUUUUUUUAACCUGAAAGUAGUCUUUGUAGUGUCUGGACAGUAUUGAAGUAUAACUUUUCCACAAUAGAGUGCUAAAAUAAUCCAGAUAUCAAGAACCUAGAUGCUCCCAGUCUGCUGGCCUGCUGGACUUACCCUGUCCCAAGAAAUUGGAAUAAAAAUGCCCCAUCCCCCAUGGACAUACAAAGGGAAACCAGACCUGCCCCUUGCCACAUUGGCCAGUGCCCAUUCUGUUACUGAGCAAGAGCUCACCAUCCCAAAGGCAGAGAAGCGAAUAUAGAGACUGUGGCACACCAGUCUUUGAGGGCAGAAGUAGUUUACCAUGCAAUUGAUUGGCAAAGAGACAGAAGGACAGGCUCUCAAUUCUGUCUCCCUAUCCAGGGUAUGGGGUAAGGCUUAACGGAUCGGGAAGGGCAUGCUGGCAGGUAGAAGCACAGGAUGAGUUUCAAUUGGCAGAUCAAAAUUUUCAUCCUGGGCAUGCUCCUGGCUGGCUGGCCACACCUGAUAAACAGCUUUAAUGUCGUGUGGUUGAGAUGAGGUCGGUUUUGGGGGUUACCAGGAAAAGCACAGUAAAAAAGAGUGAAGUUGUUGGGCAGGUUUAAGUCAUAGCCUUCUCUAUUGAUAAGAGUUUCUAGAGAGUUGGAGUCAUCCUCCCCUUCCUGGCACAGAGAGGGAGGCACCCUUACACAUGGAGAUUUCCCUUACAAACGGGUAACUUCUACGAGGUUUUCAGAGCUUUUCCUGUGUCUGCUUUUGUUCAAAAAUAAUCACCAGCUCAAAGUAGCCCUUAUGCCAGAGAGGCAUAUUUUGGGGUGGCAAAUUCCAUUCCUGGUCCUGUGGUUAGAGUUCUAGUUGUUACGGUUUUUAAUGUCACUCCUAGUCACAUGAACAGAAUACCCAAUUCAUCCCCUUGGCUUAUUUCUGAGAAAACUAUCAUGACGUGUUUUAGAAGGGGUAGGAAAAUUUAAAAUCUCAAAUUGCCCAAACUAAAAACUUUGAAGAAACUAUGCCAACUAAGUAUUGAAAAGUCUAGAAUAAUUUUCAGUAUUGUAGCAGGUCCUUUACAGGAGAUUCCAUCUUCCUUGUCAUCAAAGCAUUAAAGAAGAAUCAGAUUUGACAGUUCAGCAACUUCAUAUUGAUACCAGCUCAACACAAGGUUGACAUAAGGGAAGCCAUAUUGUAGAAAAGAAGCCAUGCUGCAACUUUGAAUGACCUGAUUAACCAGCCAGCUGCAUAUGCAACCUCCCAGAGAGAUAAAUGCUCUGUAGAUGUUAAGGCCCCUCUCAGCUGCUAUAAGUUGACAACUUUGUUCUUUUGAGUUACUCAGGACUGUGAUGACCUCUGGGUAGAGAGUCUAUGUUGAUAGCCAUCAUCAUGACAAUGGAAAGAUCUGGGUAUAGGGCAUUGCUCUGGUCUCUGAUCCAUAUCCAGUAAAACAAAGAUUAUCAGACCAGACGUCUGCCCCCACCCAGAGAUCAGGCAGGUGCCCCUGCCCAGAGACCAGCUGCCUCUCCAACCCAAAGACCAGCCCCCUAUAUAACUGGCCUGUAGUCUUUGUUCUGCAAGAUGGUUCCUUUGGACAUUAGUCAGGCAUCUUCUCCCUUGCUAGCAAGCUGUAAUAACACUCUUUUUCUCCUACCACCUUGCCUGUUGAAUAUUGGCAUGUCUCGUGGUGGGCAGAUGACAUCCCUUGGGUGGUAACAAAUUUGGCGAACAUGAAGGGACAUUAAGUCCUACUCAUGGCCAGUCAACCUUGAUGGGCAACCUGUCGGCUAAGUUCUAGCAGCUGCCGUGGCUCUCUUGGUCUCGGGGAUCUGCCCUUCCUGCUUUCCUGUACUGAUGCUGGCUGCCUCCUAACACUGACUGUGGUAGAAAGAGAAACAGCUACAUCUGGCCAGUCCACAGGCUCAAUCUGGAAUAGGGUAAGUCACCUUGGGGAUGCCUGUGAACUGCCUUCCCCUGGGGUCCUUCUGUUUACAGCAGGGCCGUCUGGGGCCCUUCCAUUUAUGGCAGGGCCAUCUGGGAUCCAAUAGGACCAUCUGGGUGCAUGUUCAGAGUGGGAAGAGUUGUAGGACUUUUUACCCUAAAUCUGUGAACUAGUUUCAUUGGUGUCUGGUUUUUCUGUGUCAGUAAACUGCUUAAAAUUGGCUGUUUGGGGACUGAGUUACUGGGUGAUUAUAACUCACUUUAGAAAUUACCAUGUUUGUUGCAGCCACCUUGGGUCAAGCCCCCUAAAAUGGGGAUAACUAUAAAAAUAUGGCAAGAUAACAUGGGAUAAUUUAAAAUUAAGUGGCCACUUUGGGCUCCAUUUUAGCUUUGGAACCAAGAAACAAAGAAAUCUUUAAACAGUCAAGGGCCCCACCUUUUGACCUAAAGCUUCCAGAAGCUG